GCCAGGCAUGGUGGUGCAUGCCUGUAAUCCCAGCACUGAGAGGCUGAAGCAGGAGGAUCGUUGAGUUCCAGGCCACUCUGGGCUACAUUGUGAAUUCAGGGCCAGCCUGAACUAUAGUAUAUAUAUCAGUUUGGUUACAGUAUAUAGUAUAUAUAGUUCAGGCUGGUCCUGAACUCACAGUGUAGCCCAGGAUGCCCUGGAACUCUUAGUGAUCUUGCUGCCU
ensembl:misc_RNA Metazoa_SRP Metazoan signal recognition particle RNA